GUUUAGUGAUUAAUUUAAUUCGCCGUUUGUGUGUGUUAUCUAAAGGUGCCUCUGUGUAUAUGUGAUAAUCUAGAUCUGAACUGUGGAAUAAAAUACUCAAAAAUAUAUUUUCAACCUGUGCUCUAUAUUUUGGAGGAACGCAAGGAAUCGAAAAAUAAACAGCUCCUAGUUUAUGUAUAGUGGCGUGAGAUCCUAAAGGAUUCCCACAUUCAAACUCAUCAAAAUAAAGAAAAAUUGGUAAAGCAAUGUCGUUUUCAGAUAAGGUAAACCAAUACCAUUACAAACAGUGUCUAAGCGAUCUCCAACUACGUAUUCUAUUGGUUUAAUAUAAUAUUCGGCGCGUUCAAGGUAGUUUAGUCUAAGGUAAUCUGUAUGCAAAUCUUUAAAUAUGUUGCGUAACUGAGAAAAAUACUUGGUGAUUAUUUUUGUUUCAUUAUCAUGAAUGUUAUUAUCAGCAAUAAAAUUUAAUAACUCUGACUCAAACAAUUGUAGUGGUUCCCGUAGUAAAUUAUCUACAGACUCGAUUAUUACUUGUACAUUUUUCCGGUUUAAUGUAGAUUCAUUAAAAAAAUAUGUGACAAAAUUAAUAGCAUUUUGAUUUAGCUUCUCUUUAAACAGAUUGAAUUUGAAAGCAUCACUUGUUUUAACAGAAGAACAUGAAGGUUCCGCAUCAUUUAUUUCUGUUUCUGUAUCUGAAUAGGAGAAUUUACGUAUAUUAUUACCGUCUUUGUUUUGGUGCACUGUGUUGACGGGUUUUGUUACAAAAAUAUUAGCCUGAUUAGGAUCAAGUCUAGUUAAAUCAAUACUUUUGUGAGAUUUCAAAUGUUUCUUGAAGGAGUUUAAAUUUGUAAAAUUUCUGAAACAAGUUAAUUCACCACACUUAAAUGUUGAACUAUUAUCAAAACCAUGCAGAUGUUUUAAAUGACACACUAGAGCCUUAAUGUCAGCAAAAGUAUUUGUACAAU